rnacentral:rRNA from 1 species
UACGAAGGGGGCUAGCGUUGCUCGGAAUCACUGGGCGUAAAGCGCACGUAGGCGGCUUUCUAAGUCAGGGGUGAAAUCCUGGAGCUCAACUCCAGAACUGCCUUUGAUACUGGAGAGCUUGAGUUCCGGAAGAGGUGAGUGGAACUCCGAGUGUAGAGGUGAAAUUCGUAGAUAUUCGGAAGAACACCAGUGGCGAAGGCGGCUCACUGGUCCGGUACUGACGCUGAGGUGCGAAAGCGUGGGGAGCAAACAGGG